CUAUAGUCUAGUCUAUAGUCUAGUCUAUAGUCUAGUCUAUAGUCUAGUCUAUAGUCUAGUCUAGUGACUAGACUAUAGACUAGACUAUAGACUAGACUCUA
rnacentral:pre_miRNA from 1 species